GGGGUUCGAAUGGUGUUUUGGUGCAGCCAUGUUAAAACGGCUUCUAGUUUGGGAGAGAAGAUUGGACCCGAGCAUGUGCACUUGGAUUUGGAUAAAGGAUCGAAAGUCGGGAACGAACCCGAAUGAGGGCAAGCACUCCAAUUCCAGUGUGCAGGUUUCGAGCAUGUGGUCGGGAGGCGUACAGGGGAGGCACAUGACCCGGCUUGGCGCAUUUCUCUUUAGCUUUAUCAAGAGAUGGUUUUGGUCCCUUAUCGGAUUUUGAAGUAACCUACCUAUUUACUUCUUAUUUAAUUGUUUGUUUUCUACUCCCUUAUUUACAAAACUUUGGGAGACCCGUAACCCUGGGGCGCGUCUCUCAUACUUGCAUUUACUUAGUGAUUUGUUAUUUUCCAAAUUGGGCUCCUAUUAUAAGCCCAAAUCCUUUAGCCCACUUUGAA